GACGAACGCUGGCGGCGUGCUUAACACAUGCAAGUCGAACGAAGAGCGAUGGAAGCUUGCUUCUAUCAAUCUUAGUGGCGAACGGGUGAGUAACGCGUAAUCAACCUGCCCUUCAGAGGGGGACAACAGUUGGAAACGACUGCUAAUACCGCAUACGAUCUAACCUCGGCAUCGAGGAUAGAUGAAAGGUGGCCUCUACAUGUAAGCUAUCACUGAAGGAGGGGAUUGCGUCUGAUUAGCUAGUUGGAGGGGUAACGGCCCACCAAGGCGAUGAUCAGUAGCCGGUCUGAGAGGAUGAACGGCCACAUUGGGACUGAGACACGGCCCAGACUCCUACGGGAGGCAGCAGUGGGGAAUCUUCCGCAAUGGACAAAAGUCUGACGGAGCAACGCCGCGUGAGUGAUGACGGCCUUCGGGUUGUAAAGCUCUGUUAAUCGGGACGAAAGGCCUUCUUGCGAAUAGUGAGAAGGAUUGACGGUACCGGAAUAGAAAGCCACGGCUAACUACGUG
rnacentral:rRNA from 1 species